rnacentral:rRNA from 1 species
CCUGGCCUUGACAUACUAAGAACUUUCCAGAGAUGGAUUGGUGCCUUCGGGAACUUAGAUACAGGUGCUGCAUGGCUGUCGUCAGCUCGUGUCGUGAGAUGUUGGUUAAGUCCGCAACGAGCGCAACCCUUUUCCUUAUUUGCCAGCGGGUAAUGCCGGGAACUUUAAGGAUACUGCCAGUGACAAACUGGAGGAAGGCGGGGACGACGUCAAGUCAUCAUGGCCCUUACGGCCAGGGCUACACACGUGCUACAAUGGUCGGUACAAAGGGUUGCUACCUCGCGAGAGGAUGCUAAUCUCAAAAAGCCGAUCGUAGUCCGGAUCGCAGUCUGCAACUCGACUGCGUGAAGUCGGAAUCGCUAGUAAUCGCGGAUCAGAAUGCCGCGGUGAAUACGUUCCCGGGCCUUGUACACACCGCCCGUCACACCAUGGGAGUUUGUUGCACCAGAAGUAGGUAGUCUAACCGCAAGGAGGACGCUUACCACGGUGUGGCCGAUGACUGGGGUGAAGUCGUAACAAGGUAGGCGUAGAUGA